UACGUAGGGUGCAAGCGUUGUCCGGAAUUUAUUUGGGCGGUAAAGAGCUCGGUAGGACGGGUUUGUCGCGUCUGGCUGUGAAAUUCCGAGGCUCAACCUCGGGCGAGCAGUGGGUACGGGCAAGACUUGAGUGCGGUAGGGGAGAUUGGAAUUCCUGGGUGUAGGCGGGUGGAAAUUGCGGCAGAUAUCAAGGAGGAACAC
rnacentral:rRNA from 1 species